GUGGGGAAUAUUGGACAAUGGGCGAAAGCCUGAUCCAGCCAUGCCGCGUGGAGGAAGACUGCCCUCUGGGUUGUAAACUCCUUUUAUAUGGGAAGAACCGUCCUCAUUAAUGAGUGACCUGACGGUACCAUAGGAAUAAGCACCGGCUAACUCCGUGCCAGCAGCCGCGGUAAUACGGAGGGUGCAAGCGUUAUCCGGAUUCACUGGGUUUAAAGGGUGCGUAGGCGGAUAAAUAAGUCAGUGGUGAAAUCAACGGGCUCAACCUGUUAACUGCCAUUGAUACUGUGUAUCUUGAAUAUGAGAGAGGUAGGCGGAAUGUUGCAUGUAGCGGUGAAAUGCUUAGAUAUGCUACGGAACACCGAUUGCGAAGGCAGCUUACUAUUUCGUAAUUGACGCUGAGGCACGAAAGCGUGGGUAGCGAACAGGAUUAGAAACCCGAGUAGUCC
rnacentral:rRNA from 1 species